GAUGAACGCUGGCGGCGUGCCUAAUACAUGCAAGUCGAGCGAACAGAUGAGGAGCUUGCUCCUCUGACGUUAGCGGCGGACGGGUGAGUAACACGUGGAUAACCUACCUAUAAGACUGGGAUAACUUCGGGAAACCGGAGCUAAUACCGGAUAAUAUAUUGAACCGCAUGGUUCAAUAGUGAAAGACGGUUUUGCUGUCACUUAUAGAUGGAUCCGCGCCGCAUUAGCUAGUUGGUAAGGUAACGGCUUACCAAGGCAACGAUGCGUAGCCGACCUGAGAGGGUGAUCGGCCACACUGGAACUGAGACACGGUCCAGACUCCUGCGGGAGGCAGCAGUAGGGAAUCUUCCGCAAUGGGCGAAAGCUUGACGGAGCAACGCCGCGUGAGUGAUGAAGGUCUUCGGAUCGUAAAACUCUGUUAUUAGGGAAGAACAAAUGUGUAAGUAACUAUGCACGUCUUGACGGUACCUAAUCAGAAAGCCACGGCUAACUACGUG
rnacentral:rRNA from 1 species